rnacentral:rRNA from 1 species
CGUAGGUGGCAAGCGUUGUCCGGAUUUAUUGGGUUUAAAGGGUGCGUAGGCGGUCUUGUAAGUCAGUGGUGAAAUACGGCAGCUUAACUGUCGAGGUGCCAUUGAUACUGCAGGACUUGAGUACAGACGAGGUAGGCGGAAUUGACGGUGUAGCGGUGAAAUGCUUAGAUAUCGUCAAGAACACCGAUAGCGAAGGCAGCUUACUAGACUGUAACUGACGCUGAUGCACGAAAGUGUGGGGAUCAAACAGGAUUAGAUACCCAGGUAGUCCACACUGUAAACGAUGAUUACUCGAUGUUGGCGAUACACAGCCAGCGUCUUAGCGAAAGCGAUAAGUAAUCCACCUGGGGAGUACGCCGGCAACGGUG